CAUCUGUGAAUUUGAAUAAUCAAGUUUCUCUUACAGAAUUUUAUAGGUUUGCUAAGGCAGAGACAGUUCUUCAUCCAUCAGCUUAAUUUUCAUUUCUAUGUGUGUUUCCUGAUAAUAUCCUUGGGCAAUUGGGGCCUACUAGUAUAGUCUAUUUUGGGGGAACACAACUGUUUGAGUUCUAGGGAUGGUGGUUGUGCUACUGGCUGCAAACAGUUGGCUAAGACAGCUGGCUUGGUUCCCUAUGCAAAUGAGGCUCUAAGAUAGGUUCCAUGGUUGCCUGGAUUCUCUGGCCAGGCUUCCGAGAUAGUUGGGACUGGGUACUCUAUUGAGUAGUAGAUGAGACUAUGAAUUAGCUUUCCUGCCCUGACAGAGCAUAAAGACAAAACCCAGGGCCUAUACAGUUCAUUGCUUGUGGACCUAAAUCAGUCCAGAGUGUGCACUAAAUUCCCUGGUCACAUGAAGUUGCCAGUUUUGAUCUGCAGAUGAGGAAGCCAUGAGCUGUAGUCUCUGUUCAAAUGCCACCAUACGUAGGACUGUUGAAUGAUCUGUGAAGCUUUCUAUGUGCUCUGGUUAGGGUUCCUGCUUUGACAGGCUGAAGGCUGUAUUAGGCAGUGAGUAGGGCUAUGAAUUAGGCUUCCUUUCCAGGUGCAGUGGAAGAAGCAGAUCCAAAGCAGUUGUUCGUCUGAAGAGGUGGAGUGAAGUCAGGAACAACCUAUGCCAUUGUCUUGGUGACAUCACAAGAACUCACUUUCGGUGAAAGAUGACUGCACUGCAGGAUGCUACGUGCAACAGCUGAGCUACUAAUUGCAGCUGUCUGUCACUCUGGCUUGGAUGGAGAAGAAAGGCUAUCGUUUCAAUUCUAGAAUAUUGAUUCAUUUUUGGUGGGGCACGCCUUGUUGAAGACUACAGAGAAAAGGUCAGUUUUCUGCAAAAUUACUUUCAUUAAGUUGUCCCCGAAGGUACAAGACAAGUUAAUUUAAAAUUGCAAUUACAUCUUCACACCAAAUAUAUC
rnacentral:lncRNA from 12 species